UACAGAGGAGCCAAGCGUUGUCCGGAUUGACUGGGCGUAAAGCGCACGCAGGCGGACGCGCGCGUGGGGUGUGAAAUCUGGCCGCUUAACGGCCAGGCGCCAUCCCAUACGGCGGGUCUGGAGUGAUGCAGAGGGCGGUGGAAUUCCCGGUGUAGCGGUGGAAUGCGUAGAGAUCGGGAAGAACAUCAGUGGCGAAGGCGGCCUGCUGGGCUGUUGCUGACGCUGAGGCGCGACAGCGUGGGGAGCAAACAGG
rnacentral:rRNA from 1 species